rnacentral:rRNA from 1 species
UCUGUCGAGCUGAAAAGCCGCAGAGAAAUGGUGGUGGCGACUGUUUACUAAAAACAUAGGUCUGUGCCAAGUCGUAUAGACGACGUAUACGGACUGACGCCUGCCCGGUGCUGGAAGGUUAAAAGGAGGAGUCAGCGCAAGCGAAGCUCCGAAUUGAAGCCCCAGUAAACGGCGGCCGUAACUAUAACGGUCCUAAGGUAGCGAAAUUCCUUGUCGGGUAAGUUCCGACCUGCACGAAUGGCGUAACGAUCUCCACACUGUCUCGGCCAGAGACUCGGUGAAAUUGAAGUCGCGGUGAAAAUGCCGUGUACCCGCAGAAAGACGGAAAGACCCUGUGCACCUUUACUAUAGCUUGACAUUGGGAUUUGAGCCUGCAUGUGUAGCAUAGGUGGGAGGCUGUGAACUCUGUACGCCAGUAUGGAGGGAGCCAUCGUUGAAAUACCACCCUUUAAUGUUUGUUCAGGUCCUAACUCUUCGCCGCUGAUCCGGUAAGAGGACAGUGUCUGGUGGGUAGUUUGACUGGGGCGGUCGCCUCCCAAAAUGUAACGGAGGCAUGCAAAGGUUCCCUCAGGCUGAUUGGAAACCAGCCGUCGAGUGCAAACGCAAAAGGGAGCUUGACUGCAAGAGAGACAUCUCGAGCAGGUACGAAAGUAGGUGUUAGUGAUCCGGUGAUCCCGAAUGGAAGGGUCAUCGCUCAUUGGAUAAAAGGUACGCCGGGGAUAACAGGCUGAUCGCAUCCAAGAGUUCACAUCGACGAUGCUGUUUGGCACCUCGAUGUCGGCUCAUCACAUCCUGGGGCUGAAGCAGGUCCCAAGGGUACGGCUGUUCGCCGUUUAAAGUGGUACGCGAGCUGGGUUUAAAACGUCGUGAGACAGUUUGGUCCCUAUCUUCUGUGGGCGUAGGAGAAUUGAAAGGGCCUGUCCCUAGUACGAGAGGACCGGGAUGGACACACCACUGGUGGACCUGUUGUCGUGCCAACGGCACAGCAGGGUAGCUAUGUGUGGAAGGGAUAACCGCUGAAAGCAUCUAAGCGGGAAGCCUGCCUUAAGAUAAGUUCUCCCUGACGCUUUAAGUCUCCUGAAGGGCCGAGGUAGACGACCUCGUUGAUAGGCUGGAGGUGGAAGCCCUGUGAGGGGUGGAGCUGACCAGUACUAAUAGCCCGUGCGUCUUGUUUCU